rnacentral:rRNA from 1 species
CUCAGAUUGAACGCUGGCGGCAGGCCUAACACAUGCAAGUCGAACGGUAGCACAGAGAGCUUGCUCUUGGGUGACGAGUGGCGGACGGGUGAGUAAUGUCUGGGAAACUGCCCGAUGGAGGGGGAUAACUACUGGAAACGGUAGCUAAUACCGCAUAACGUCUUCGGACCAAAGUGGGGGACCUUCGGGCCUCACACCAUCGGAUGUGCCCAGAUGGGAUUAGCUAGUAGGUGGGGUAACGGCUCACCUAGGCGACGAUCCCUAGCUGGUCUGAGAGGAUGACCAGCCACACUGGAACUGAGACACGGUCCAGACUCCUACGGGAGGCAGCAGUGGGGAAUAUUGCACAAUGGGCGCAAGCCUGAUGCAGCCAUGCCGCGUGUAUGAAGAAGGCCUUCGGGUUGUAAAGUACUUUCAGUGGGGAGGAAGGCGAUGAAGUUAAUAGCUUCGUCGAUUGACGUUACCCGCAGAAGAAGCACCGGCUAACUCCGUGCCAGCAGCCGCGGUAAUACGGAGGGUGCAAGCGUUAAUCGGAAUUACUGGGCGUAAAGCGCACGCAGGCGGUCUGUCAAGUCGGAUGUGAAAUCCCCGGGCUCAACCUGGGAACUGCAUUCGAAACUGGCAGGCUAGAGUCUUGUAGAGGGGGGGUAGAAUUCCAGGUGUAGCGGUGAAAUGCGUAGAGAUCUGGAGGAAUACCGGUGGCGAAGGCGGCCCCCUGGACAAAGACUGACGCUCAGGUGCGAAAGCGUGGGGAGCAAACAGGAUUAGAUACCCUGGUAGUCCACGCCGUAAACGAUGUCGACUUGGAGGUUGUGCCCUUGAGGCGUGGCUUCCGGAGCUAACGCGUUAAGUCGACCGCCUGGGGAGUACGGCCGCAAGGUUAAAACUCAAAUGAAUUGACGGGGGCCCGCACAAGCGGUGGAGCAUGUGGUUUAAUUCGAUGCAACGCGAAGAACCUUACCUGGCCUUGACAUCCACGGAAUUUGGCAGAGAUGCCUUAGUGCCUUCGGGACCGUGAGACAGUGCUGCAUGGCUGUCGUCAGCUCGUGUUGUGAAAUGUUGGGUUAAGUCCCGCMACGAGCGCACCCUUAUCCUU